UGUAAAAUAAGCUAAAUAUUAAGCUAUUGGGCUCAUACCCCGAAAAUGAAUUCUAAAUUCUUUUACAA
rnacentral:tRNA from 1 species